UUAUUUAUUUCACAUCUAGGAUGUGUUGUUUAAGUGUUCCCUUUAUUUUUUUGAGCAGUAUACAUGCUCACCUCUGCCAAUUGGAAACUGUUGCCCGCUUGUCUGUCCCAUUUCCUUAAUAUGUUCUAUUGCGCAGUGGCAAUCAAGACCCAUAACCCCACACUACAACCCUCCAACCCUCCUCCUGUUGCUGCCCAAUAGCUGUCUGAUACAGUUUCCCCCCAGGAGACCAGCUACACCCCCAUCCUCACCCAGGUUGAACCCCCGAUAUCCCCCACCACCCAGGAGACCAGCUACACCCCCAUCCUCAACCAGGUUGAACCCCCGAUAUCCCCCACCACCCAGGAGACCAGCUACACCCCCAUCCUCAACCAGGUUGAACCCCCGAUAUCCCCCACCACCCAGGAGACCAGCUACACCCCCAUCCUCAACCAGGUUGAACCCCCGAUAUCCCCCACCGCCCAGGAGACCAGCUACACCCCCAUCCUCAACCAGGUUGAACUCCGAUAUCCCCCACCACCCAGGAGACCAGCUACACCCCCAUCCUCAACC
rnacentral:lncRNA from 1 species